UAUAUAUGAAGGGUGGCUGAAUUUUUCGCGAGCUAAGGAAGUUAGAGAUGGCACAUCAUAUUAUUAGCGAUAAUACUAAUUGCCGACGCGUUGUUAGUAUAAAUAACACCUUUCAUUCCCGGAACAAGCAGCAAAAUUACGUCAAUUGAAACUGGAAAAUCACCGCGCUGUGAUUAGACUCCUUGUAAAAAAGGAAGUACACCGAAAGAAUGUUUCAAAGAGAUGUCAUCGGUUCUUCAGGACUCUGGCCCUUUAUAUAUACGAUGGCGAAAAAAUGGGCUCAGCUAUUUCAAGAAGUCAAGAAGGAAAAGAGAUCUGUGAAAAUGAUCUACGCCCGAAACGCUCAGUAAAAAAAAAGUAAUCGAAGAAUAAAAUUGUGGCAGAUAGCAGAAGGAUUACAGAUUAGCAAAGAAUUAGCUGGAGAGGUUUUGCAUGAGAAUUUGAAUAUGAAAAAAUUAGUGCGCGUUGAGUACUGCGUAUGCUCGCGCCGCUCGACAAGCAGCGACGCAUGGAGCGUUGUAAAGGUUUGUUUGAAGGUGGGCCAAGCUGACUUGGAUAGCGGUGGAUAAAAAUAUGGGAAAGGGCGCCAAAAUAAUUCAAAGUGGAAAACUCGACGUCAAAGGUUAUGGAUACCAAUUUCUGGAAUAACAAAGGGAAUAUUAGUAAUUGAUUGGGUCUGAGUUUGGCUGAUAAAAAACAACAUAUAAAUUCAGAAACAUUUUCGGAUAUGAAUACUGACACUGAACUACAGCAAAAGAUUUGUCAGAACUAAGCUACAAGCAAGUUUUCAGUAUCCUCACGCAUUCUCCUACUCAGUUUGAAAUUUUAUUUUCCUGCUGCCACAAUUGUGCUGAAUGUUGACCGAAUAGUUGGCAAGUAAUGAAGCGUUGGAACGGAGCUCAAUGAUGCUGUAAGUGUUGCUGCCUUGAAUAAAAAAGAA